UACAGAUUCCCCUAUGAGGAAACCCCAAGAGAGCUGGGGUUGUUCAGACCGGAGAAGAGAAGGCUCCAGGGAGAUUUUGUAGCACCCUUGCAGCACCUAAAGGGAAACUACAGUAUCAAGCCAGCAUAGAUGAAGAGAUAUUGAUUCUCAUCUAAAAAAAUUCCACGAACUAUGGAAAGUUUAUUGAAUAAGCAUGAUCCAAGAUCUCCAGCAUAUUAAAGUCUUGCUGCUCUUCACAAGCAAUCUGGAAGGCCAGUAUUGAUAAGUACCUCUCCAUUGAGCUAGAGCAGAUGAAGUUCUGUAGGAUGACCCUGAGUCUCCACGAGGAGAUAACAGGACACCUUCUCAG